rnacentral:rRNA from 1 species
UGAGGAAUAUUGGUCAAUGGGCGCGAGCCUGAACCAGCCAAGUCGCGUGAGGGAUGACGGCCCUACGGGUUGGUAAACCUCUUUUGUCGGGGAGCAAAUUCCGCCACGUGUGGCGGAGUCGAGAGUACCCGAAGAAAAAGCAUCGGCUAACUCCGUGCCAGCAGCCGCGGUAAUACGGAGGAUGCGAGCGUUAUCCCGAUUUAUUGGGUUUAAAGGGUGCGUAGGCGGAACUGUCGAAGUCAAGCGGUAAAACUACGGGGGCAUCAACCUCCGGCCCGCCGUUGAAACUGACGGUCUUGAGUGGGCGAGAAGUAUGCGGAAUGCGUGGUGUAGCGGUGAAAUGCAUAGAUAUCACGCAGAACUCCGAUUGCGAAGGCAGCAUACCGGCGCCCAACUGACGCUGAAGCACGAAAGCGUGGGUAUCGAACAGGAUUAGAUACC